GACGGGGGGUGCAAGCGUUGUUCGGAAUCAUUGGGCGUAAAGCGUGUGCAGGUGGCUCUGCAAGUCAGAUGUGAAAGCCCCGGGCUUAACCCGGGAAGUGCAUUUGAAACUACAAAGCUUGAGUAUGGAAGAGGGUCGUGGAAUUCCUGGUGUAGUGGUGAAAUACGUAGAUAUCAGGAGGAACACCGAUGGCGAAGGCAGGUCUCUGGGCAUUGAACUGACGCUGAGGAGCGAAAGCAUGGGGAGCGAACAGGA
rnacentral:rRNA from 1 species